rfam:Triticum aestivum genome assembly, contig: Triticum_aestivum_CS42_TGACv1_scaffold_569838_7AS
AAAAUACUCCCUCCAUCUGGAAAUACUUGUCAUCAAAAUGGAUAAAAGGAAAUGUAUCUAGACGUAUUUUAGUUUUAGAUACAUCUCUUUUUAUCCAUUUUGAUGACAAGUAUUUUCGAACGGGGGGAGUAGAAA